UCCCAGCGUAUCCGUACUCCCAUCUCACAGACUCCAGCCCCAAAAGGACCUUCCCCUCCGUGAGUUCACCUCAAGCCUGGUGAUGAGCACGCAGAGAUCGUUCUGACGAUGAGCUAAGGCUUGCUGAGGAUGGAAAGAAGCGGACCACAGAUGUGCUGUGUGUAUAUUUCCCAGGAAGGGCACGGGAAGGCCCCCCAGAGCCCUCCCCGGGGCAGAGAAGGCAGGUGGCACAGAGAGUUCUGGAAAGGCAGACGAUCAGAACUGACAGACAGGCCACCUGCCCUGAGAAGACACCCUCCUCCCCGAUCUCGCCCAGCCCUCCCGCUACCUGUCUCGAAACCUCACACAUUCAAGGCAGACGUGUCAUGCCACCUGGAUCACUCACCUGCCACAACCUUCUUCCAAAUUAGGUCAAUCCGUUUUCUAUCCUAUUACCAACCCUGCAAUAACUUUGCUAUAGCUGAGCAUGUCAGGGAAGGACCACUUUCCUGAGGAGAGACGUUAUCGCAUUUUAUUGUCACAGCAAACCUGGGGGAUGCUGGGCUUUGGGGUAGGUUAUUCCCAUCUCGGGCCAAUGAGGAAAUUGAGGCACAAGGAGUUUAAAAUUCAUUCAUUCAUUCAUUCAAAUGAAGUAAAAUUCAAUCAACCCUCCAUAGCUGUGAGUUCUGCAUCUGUUUAUUCAAUCAGCCACAAAGAGAAUAUUUACAGAAAAAUUCUGGAAAGUUCCAAAAAGCAAAGCUUGUGUUUGCCACAGACAGGCAACUGUUUACACAGCCCAUACAUUGUCUAUACAGUGCAUAAAAUAUCCAGGAGGAUAUGUGUAGGUUAUACACCAUUAUAUAUGCCAUUUUAGAGUAAGAGAAUUGAGCAUCCUCCGAUUUCGGUAUGAAGAGGAGGCAGUCCUGGAACCAAUCCCUGUGGACACUGAGGUGUGACUGUUGAAAUGAAAUGUAAUGAAAUGAGGAGUUCCCACCGUGGCUCAGCAGUUAAUGAAUCAGACUAGUAUCUAUGAGGACGUGGGUUCAAACCCUGACCUCACUCAGUGAAUUAAGGAUCCAGCACUGCUGUGGUUGUGGCCCAGGCCAGCAGCUGCAGCUCCAAUUCGACCCCUAGCCUGGGAAUCUCCAUGUGCCGCAGCUGCGGCCCUAAAAAAACAAAAGACUUUAAAAAAAAAAAAAUGAAAUGAAAUGAAAGCAACGUUACCACUGUAGGACUAGAAUCUUGGUCCCCAGACUCCUAGCCGUUUGCCACCCUCGUGGCCAGCCUUGUACAGCCCACGCAUGACGAUUACCUUUCACUCCUUUGCUUCUGGCCUCCGCUUGCAGAACCCUCAAAGAUGGCAAAAGAUGUGACCCACAUGCCCCUGUGCCAGUGCCUAAUUAUUCCUCAAGACCUCAAGGCCCUGCCUGAGCUUCGCCCAUGGGCUCGCUGAUGCACCGUGGGGAUGCCGCACAUGAAGGAACCAGGAAAGACACCAGCAGCAGCAACAGGUCCCCCAGCAUCCAGCGGGCAAGACAGCCAAGACCCUGAAGAUGGGGGUCACAGAGCUGAACAGCACGUGUAGGCUGCCAAGCACACCUGGGCCUCGUGGCCAGCAGGGCAGCUAGAGGGGCCUGGAGCAGAGCCGCUGCAGUGGGGCCGGAGGUGGUCAGUGGCCCAGGGAAAGCCCUGCCUCCUGGAGCCUCCUCUUUGAUCUUUUGUUUGUUUGGUUGGUUUUUUGGGUUUUUUAGGGCUGCACCUGAAGCAUAUGGAGCUUCCCAGACUAGGGGUCAAAUCGGAGCUACAGCUGCUGGUCUACGCCACAGCCACACCAACGCGGGACCUGAGACGCAUCUUUGACCUACACCAAAGCUCAUGGCAACGCCAGAUCCUUAACUCACUGAGCGACGCCAGGGAAUGAACCUGUGUCCUUGUGGUUCCUAGGCAGAUUUGUUUCUGCUGAGCCACAACGGGAACUCCUCCUCUUUGAUCUCAGCACUUUCUUCUCACCAAAUCCAUGAACAGUUAAGCUCACCAGGGGAGUGGCUCCAGGAGAAAAGAGAUGGCUGUCAUCUGUGUUGGGGACAGAGACAGUCCCCACAAGAGAAAACGACAGGUGGGAGAUAAACUUCAUGGCAGAAAUUCUCUAAGAAACCAUCCUAUUUUGGACUUAGGCUGGGCCAGGGUCAGACAGUAGUUUUACUGGACACUCAGAGGCAGGGAUUGUUCCCAGAAGGGAAAAGCAGGCAUCCAGGCAGGACCCCCAACCCAGAAGAACCAGGAUAUCUGUCAGGAGAACAAGCAGGAAGGAGCUCAGCCUCAGAGGAACAAGCCUGGGUCACAGAGGACAGGAAAGAAUGCAGUCCUGCCAACAGGACAGAGCUCACAUCAGGCUGACCUGCUUGAAUCUCUCAACAUCUGGCCCAGGCUCCUUCCAUCCUGGUGGGUGGCUCCUGCCAAAGCCUUUGACCUUCCCAGGGGGGCCCUGGAGCCACCUCCUGGGCAGCCAAGGCCUCCUCCACCUUCCCCCGGAGAACAUUCUCUGGCUGCGGGAGCUUCCUCGACCCCUUCUGAGGCGGGUAUAAGUGCCAGGAGUUCAUGUUUUUCUGAGUGACCCUCAUCUGAGGGGUAGACACCCCACCUUCUUGCCCCCCGGGAUACAAUUCCAAGGCAUGUUUCCACGGCCUAUCAGAGAAUUCCAGAAGGACUGGGCUCCCGUCGCCCACAGUGACAAGCCACUCACUAACUCCCUCUUUCCUGCCCCUUCUCCCUCACCUGCAGCCUGGGAUCAUUUCCCAAACUCCCUGUGCCGAAAUAUUGCUUGUCUCAGGGUUGGUUUUGCAGGGAAUCCAAACAGAAGCACCUGCGAGGGACUGACUGUGCCCCCAGGAAAGGUAUGUUGAAGUCCCAAACCCCAGGACCUCAGAAUGUGAACCUAUUUGAAAAAUAAGGCCAUUGCAGAUGCAAUUAAUUAAGAUUAGGUGAUACUGGGAGUUCCCGUUGUGGCUCAGCAGUAAUGAACCUGGCUAGUAUCCAUGAGGCCACAGGUUGGAUUCCUGGCCUUGCUCAGUGGGUUAAGGUUCUGGUGUCCCCAUGAGCUGUGGUGUAGGUCAUAGACACGGCUCAGAUCCUACGUUGCUGUGGCUGUGGUGUAGGCCGGUGGCUACAGCUCCAGUUCCACCCCUAGCCUGGGAACCUCCACAUGCCACA
rnacentral:lncRNA from 1 species